GAUGAACGCUGGCGGCGUGCCUAAUACAUGCCAGUCGAGCGAACAGACGAGGAGCUUGCUCCUCUGACGUUAGCGGCGGACGGGUGAGUAACACGUGGAUAACCUACCUAUAAGACUGGGAUAACUUCGGGAAACCGGAGCUAAUACCGGAUAAUAUAUUGAACCGCAUGGUUCAAUAGUGAAAGACGGUUUUGCUGUCACUUAUAGAUGGAUCCGCGCCGCAUUGGCUAGUUGGUAAGGUAACGGCUUACCAAGGCAACGAUGCGUAGCCGACCUGAGAGGGUGAUCGCCCACACUGGAACUGAGACACGGUCCAGACUCCUACGGGAGGCAGCAGUAGGGAAUCUUCCGCAAUGGGCGAAAGCCUGACGGAGCAACGCCGCGUGAGUGAUGAAGGUCUUCGGAUCGUAAAACUCUGUUAUUAGGGAAGAACAAAUGUGUAAGUAACUAUGCACGUCUUGACGGUACCUAAUCAGAAAGCCACGGCUAACUACGUG
rnacentral:rRNA from 1 species